UGUUACUCCCCCAACUUCUGGGAGUGUUUUUGGCUGAAAGCUCUCAGUCAGAGCCUUGCUCUGGGAAUUGUCCUCAGCCAAGGAGAGGAAGAGUCAAACAUGACUUUUAAGAAGUGUUGAAGCCCUACAUUCCUUGAAAAAUUAUGCCGAAUAUCACCUGUACCUUUCAUUUUAUGGAUUGCAAAGGAAGUAGUUUACCAUGUGAUGUAAGUUAGAGGAUUGAAAAUUGCCCUUUGA